rnacentral:rRNA from 1 species
GACGAACGCUGGCGGCGUGCUUAACACAUGCAAGUCGAACGGAAAGGCCCUGCUUUUGUGGGGUGCUCGAGUGGCGAACGGGUGAGUAACACGUGAGUAACCUGCCCUUGACUUUGGGAUAACUUCAGGAAACUGGGGCUAAUACCGGAUAGGAGCUCCUGCUGCAUGGUGGGGGUUGGAAAGUUUCGGCGGUUGGGGAUGGACUCGCGGCUUAUCAGCUUGUUGGUGGGGUAGUGGCUUACCAAGGCUUUGACGGGUAGCCGGCCUGAGAGGGUGACCGGCCACAUUGGGACUGAGAUACGGCCCAGACUCCUACGGGAGGCAGCAGUGGGGAAUAUUGCACAAUGGGCGGAAGCCUGAUGCAGCAACGCCGCGUGCGGGAUGACGGCCUUCGGGUUGUAAACCGCUUUCGCCUGUGACGAAGCGUGAGUGACGGUAAUGGGUAAAGAAGCACCGGCUAACUACGUGCCAGCAGCCGCGGUGAUACGUAGGGUGCGAGCGUUGUCCGGAUUUAUUGGGCGUAAAGGGCUCGUAGGUGGUUGAUCGCGUCGGAAGUGUAAUCUUGGGGCUUAACCCUGAGCGUGCUUUCGAUACGGGUUGACUUGAGGAAGGUAGGGGAGAAUGGAAUUCCUGGUGGAGCGGUGGAAUGCGCAGAUAUCAGGAGGAACACCAGUGGCGAAGGCGGUUCUCUGGGCCUUUCCUGACGCUGAGGAGCGAAAGCGUGGGGAGCGAACAGGCUUAGAUACCCUGGUAGUCCACGCUGUAAACGGUGGGUACUAGGUGUGGGGUCAUUCCACGGGUUCCGUGCCGUAGCUAACGCUUUAAGUACCCCGCCUGGGGAGUACGGCCGCAAGGCUAAAACUCAAAGGAAUUGACGGGGCCCCGCACAAGCGGCGGAGCAUGCGGAUUAAUUCGAUGCAACGCGUAGAACCUUACCUGGGUUUGACAUGGAUCGGGAGUGCUCAGAGAUGGGUGUGCCUCUUUUGGGGUCGGUUCACAGGUGGUGCAUGCCUGUCGUCAGCUCGUGUCGUGAGAUGUUGGGUUAAGUCCCGCAACGAGCGCAACCCUUGUUCACUGUUGCCAGCACGUUAUGGUGGGGACUCAGUGGAGACCGCCGGGGUCAACUCGGAGGAAGGUGGGGAUGACGUCAAGUCCUCAUGCCCCUUAUGUCCAGGGCUUCACGCAUGCUACAAUGGCUGGUACAGAGAGUGGCGAGCCUGUGAGGGUGAGCGAAUCUCGGAAAGCCGGUCUCAGUUCGGAUUGGGGUCUGCAACUCGACCUCAUGAAGUCGGAGUCGCUAGUAAUCGCAGAUCAGCAACGCUGCGGUGAAAACGUUCCCGGG